GUCCCCGUGCGGCUGGAUCAGGUCAUGAGCACCUACCAGGAGCGCUAACCCAACGGAACGUCAAACAGUUCAUUUCGUCCUGCACACAGGACAUGUGUACAGCCGCAUCGCAUCAGAGACGUAAAGGNNNNNNNNNCCAUGACACGCACAGUUGCAGAUCAGUUCGCCGAAACGCUUGCCGCAGCCGGGGUCAAGCGCAUCUACGGCAUUGUCGGCGACAGCCUGAACGGCCUCACCG
rnacentral:misc_RNA from 1 species